AAGCUCGUAGUUGGAUGUGUGGUGCCUGGCGCGGUCCAAUAAUGUUUUGGUGCUGCGUUGAGGUGCCAUCUUUGGGUGGAACCUGUGGGGCAUUAGGUUGUUCUGCAGGGGAUGCCCAUCGUUUACUGUGAAAAAAUUAGAGUGUUCUAAGCAGGCUUACGCCGUUGAAUAGAUUAGCAUGGAAUAAUGAGAUAGGACUCUGGUGCUAUUUUGUUGGUUUGUGCGUCGGAGUAAUGAUUAAUAGGGACCGUUGGGGGUAUUCGUAUUCCAUUGUCAGAGGUGAAAUUCUUGGAUUUCUGGAAGACGAACUACUGCGAAAGCAUUUACCAAGGAUGUUUUCAUUAAUCAAGAACGAAAGUUAGGGGAUCGAAGAUGAUUAGAUACCAUCGUAGUCUUA
rnacentral:rRNA from 1 species